UACGUAGGGUGCGAGCGUUGUCCGGAAUUAUUGGGCGUAAAGAGCUCGUAGGCGGCUUGUUGCGUCGGUUGUGAAAGCCCGGGGCUUAACCCCGGGUCUGCAGUCGAUACGGGCAGGCUAGAGUGUGGUAGGGGAGAUCGGAAUUCCUGGUGUAGCGGUGAAAUGCGCAGAUAUCAGGAGGAACACCGGUGGCGAAGGCGGAUCUCUGGGCCAUUACUGACGCUGAGGAGCGAAAGCGUGGGGAGCGAACAGG
rnacentral:rRNA from 1 species